UACGGAGGGCGCGAGCGUUGUCCGGAAUCACUGGGCGUAAAGGGCGCGUAGGCGGCCUGAUAAGUAGGGGGUGAAAUCCUGCGGCUUAACCGCAGGGCUGCCUUCUAAACUGUCAGGCUAGAGCACGGUAGAGGCAGAUGGAAUUCCCGGUGUAGCGGUGGAAUGCGUAGAGAUCGGGAAGAACAUCAGUGGCGAAGGCGGUCUGCUGGGCCGUUGCUGACGCUGAGGCGCGACAGCGUGGGGAGCAAACAGG
rnacentral:rRNA from 1 species